rnacentral:rRNA from 1 species
GACGAACGCUGGCGGCGUGCUUAACACAUGCAAGUCGAACGAGGACGACCGAGCUUGCUCGGUCUGAUUAGUGGCGAACGGGUGAGUAACACGUGAGCAACCUGCCCUUCACUCUGGGAGAACCUCGGGAAAGCGGGGCUAAUACCGGAUAUGAGCUCCUGUCGCAGGGCGGGCGUGGGAAAGUUUUUCGGGGAUGGAUGGGCUCGCGGCCUAUCAGUUUGGUGGCGGGGUAGUGUCUCACCAAGGCGAUGACGGGUAGCCGGCCUGAGAGGGCGACCGGCCCCGCUGGGCCUGGGCCACGGCCCAGCCUCCUCCGCGACGCAGCGGUGGGGAAUAUUGCACAAUGGGCGAAAGCCUGGUGCAGCGCCGCCGCGUGGGGGAUGACGGCCUUCGGGUUGUAAUCCUCUUUCAGCAGGGACGAAGCGAAAGUGACGGUACCUGCAGAAGAAGCGCCGGCUAACUACGUG